rnacentral:rRNA from 1 species
GAGAUCGGGAUAACACCUGGAAGCAGAUGCUAAUACCGGAUAACAACAGAUGAUGCCUAUCAACUGUUUAAAAGAUGGUUCUGCUAUCACUCUUGGAUGGACCUGCGGUGCAUUAGCUAGUUGGUAGGGUAACGGCCUACCAAGGCGAUGAUGCAUAGCCGAGUUGAGAGACUGAUCGGCCACAUUGGGACUGAGACACGGCCCAAACUCCUACGGGAGGCAGCAGCU